rnacentral:rRNA from 1 species
CCUACGGGUGGCAGCAGUGAGGAAUAUUGGUCAAUGGCCGUAAGGCUGAACCAGCCAAGCCGCGUGAAGGAAGAAGGAUCUAUGAUUUGUAAACAUCUUUGAUAGGGGAAUAAAGGUAUCCACGUGUGGAUAUUUGUGUGUACCCUAUGAAUAAGCAUAGGCUAACUCCGUGCCAGCAGACGCGGUAAUACGGAGUGUGCGGUCGUUAUCCGGAUUUAUUGGGAUUAAAGGGUGCGUAGGUUGUUUUUUAAGUCAGCUGUGAAAGUUUGGGGCUUAACCAUAAAAUUGCCGUUGACACUGGAAGACGUGAGUGUGUUUGAGGUAGGCGGAAUGCGUGGUGUAGCGGUGAAAUGCAUAGAUAUCACGCAGAACUCCGAUUGCGAAGGCAGCUUCCUAGGCCAUAACUGACACUGAAGCACGAAAGCGUGGGGAUCAAACAGGAUUAGAUACCCGAGUAGUC